rnacentral:tRNA from 1 species
GCCACGGUCGCAUAGCUCGGUAUUGCGCAAGCCUGGAAAGCUUGUUCCGUCAGGAAUCCCCAGUUCAAAUCUGGGCCGUGGCG